rnacentral:rRNA from 1 species
AUUGAACGCUGGCGGCAGGCCUAACACAUGCAAGUCGAACGAGUGGCGGACGGGUGAGUAAUGUCUGGGAAACUGCCUGAUGGAGGGGGAUAACUACUGGAAACGGUAGCUAAUACCGCAUACCCUCAGAUGUGCCCAGAUGGGAUUAGCUAGUAUGUGGGGUAACGGCUCACCAAGGCGACGAUCCCUAGCUGGUCUGAGAGGAUGACCAGCCACACUGGAACUGAGCUACGGUCCAGCCUCCUCCGGGAGGCAGCAGUGGGGAAUAUUGCACAAUGGGCGCAAGCCGGAUGCAGCCAUGCCGCGUGUAUGAAGAAGGCCGUCGGGUUGUAAAGUACUUUCAGCGGGGAGGCGUUACCCGCAGAAGAAGCACCGGCUAACUCCGUGCCAGCAGCCGCGGUAAUUC